UUUUAAAUCAUAGGGUCGGACUGGGGCGGUGGGUCCCCGGCGGCCCAGACCCGAUCCCCGCAGGGUGCUCCACUGCGAUCUGCUGCAGAAUGAACCUUCGGUGCGACGCAGACACCGGUCAGACCUGAGUAACCAGUGGAGGACAACAGAUUGCGCUGCUGCGGCUGAGACCCAAAGGUUAAAGGAAUAAAAUACCCAUUAUUUUCUGCUUCGUGGAAUAUGGGAUUCUUUUGUUCCCGAUCUCAGCACAAACAUCGCUGCUUUUACCUCGAUGUGAAGUGACAUUCUGGUAACGAAAGGAAAAGUCUGACCUCAAUCUCUCCGCUCACAAACAAUUUGAUUGCAUUCUGAGCUCCCCGGAUCCAGCGCCAGAACCAUCCAUCUCCCAGGGCAAACGCCGUAAAUGUUUCUUGAAGAUCAAAAAAAAAAAAA